GGAGAAAUUAUCCUUUUUCUUUUUUCCUGGUUAAUUUGCAGUUUUAUCUAAAUCACUGAGGAUAUUUUAGGCAAGCGUCUCUUAUGGAUCUUCUGGGUUGUCCAAUUUGAUAAGGUUUUUCGUGAACAAUUCUUCAAAAUUGUUAGGGUUUGCUUUGAAGGAUGAUCCCCUUUUAUUAUUAUUAUUUUAUUUGCAUUUUCAUCUAAAUUGUAGAAGUUUAAUCGAAUGCUUGAGGUUGUUUUGUUGGGUGAUUCUUAAUGUACCUUCUGGAUGGAGAAAUUCAAGCAAACAAAAUUGAAGUUUCCUUUUAUUAUUAAGGUUACUGUCGCGAAUUAUUGUUUUGAUUUGCAGUUUCAUCGAAAUUAUUGAGGUCUUCGUGUAAGGCCUGAGGCUCUACUGAAGAUGUAGAAAUUCAGGAUCUAUAUUUCUUUUUGUAUUUAAUUGUUAUUGGAUGGGUUCAAUUUCCUGCUGGC
rnacentral:lncRNA from 1 species